rnacentral:rRNA from 1 species
UACGUAGGUGGCAAGCGUUGUCCGGAUUUACCGGGUGUAAAGGGCGUGUAGCCGGGCUGACAAGUCAGAUGUGAAAUCCGGGGGCUCAACCCCCGAACUGCAUUUGAAACUGUUGGUCUUGAGUAUCGGAGAGGCAGGCGGAAUUCCUAGUGUAGCGGUGAAAUGCGUAGAUAUUAGGAGGAACACCAGUGGCGAAAGCGGCUCUCUGGCCUGUAACUGACACUGAGGCUCGAAAGCGUGGGGAGCAAACAGG